rnacentral:rRNA from 1 species
GAUGAACGCUAGCGGCAGGCCUAACACAUGCAAGUCGAGGGGUAGAGUUCUUCGGAACUUGAGACCGGCGCACGGGUGCGUAACGCGUAUGCAAUCUACCUUAUACAGGGGAAUAGCCCAGAGAAAUUUGGAUUAAUGCCCCAUAGCAUUACGACUUGGCAUCAAGAUGUAAUUAAAGUUCCAACGGUAUAAGAUGAGCAUGCGUCCCAUUAGUUAGUUGGUAAGGUAACGGCUUACCAAGACAAUGAUGGGUAGGGGUCCUGAGAGGGAGAUCCCCCACACUGGUACUGAGACACGGACCAGACUCCUACGGGAGGCAGCAGUGAGGAAUAUUGGUCAAUGGGCGCAAGCCUGAACCAGCCAUGCCGCGUGCAGGAAGACGGUCCUAUGGAUUGUAAACUGCUUUUAUACAGGAAGAAACACCUCCACGUGUGGAGGCUUGACGGUACUGUAGGAAUAAGGAUCGGCUAACUCCGUG